AUCCAGCUGAUCUGUCCCAAAUAGAACGAAACGCGCAUCCUGGAU
rnacentral:hammerhead_ribozyme from 1 species